rnacentral:lncRNA from 1 species
CUUACCAUCUUUUUUUGCUUUUGAAAGAGGAUCUUACCUGCCCCCCCCUUGCACAAGCCUCACAAAUUUUAUCUUCCUUGAACUUAAUGUUAGGCAGUACUAUCAUUCCCCCUUGCACAAGCCUCAAAUUUUAUCUUCCUUGAAGUAAUUGUUAGGCAGUACUAUCACCAUGUCCUUGGAGACUAGUUUGUUGAGUUGACUUAGACUGGCAUGUCCAAGUCUCUUGUGCCAAAAGAGGGGAUCAUUAUCCACGACACUUAAGCAAGUGAGUUCAUCUUCUAAACAUGUGGAAAAAUAUACAACGUAUAUAUUUUUUUUCCCUGCAAAAUAAUCUUGUCGGUGGUAAGAUUAAUCACAAAACAUUUGGUAGAGGGGAAUGCUACCAAGUUACCUUUAUCACACAAUUGUGAUUGUCUUAUUAUGCAGUAUUUUAGGCCAUCUAUCAGUUAGACAUUCUCAAUAAAGUGAGAAUCAGUCUUACCUACCUUUCCAACUCCAAUGAUCUCACUUUUCUUCCUAUUUCCAAAGG